ACGCUGGCGGCAGGCCUAACACAUGCAAGUCGAGCGGAUGAGAGGAGCUUGCUCCUUGAUUCAGCGGCGGACGGGUGAGUAAUGCCUAGGAAUCUGCCUAUUAGUGGGGGACAACGUCUCGAAAGGGACGCUAAUACCGCAUACGUCCUACGGGAGAAAGCAGGGGACCUUCGGGCCUUGCGCUAAUAGAUGAGCCUAGGUCGGAUUAGCUAGUUGGUGAGGUAAUGGCUCACCAAGGCGACGAUCCGUAACUGGUCUGAGAGGAUGAUCAGUCACACUGGAACUGAGACACGGUCCAGACUCCUACGGGAGGCAGCAGUGGGGAAUAUUGGACAAUGGGCGAAAGCCUGAUCCAGCCAUGCCGCGUGUGUGAAGAAGGUCUUCGGAUUGUAAAGCACUUUAAGUUGGGAGGAAGGGUUGUAGAUUAAUACUCUGCAAUUUUGACGUUACCGACAGAAUAAGCACCGGCUAACUC
rnacentral:rRNA from 1 species